AUCUUCAUCAGUGCUUUGUGUCUGCCUGCCCCCUCACUUCAGUUCUUAUUGUCAUUUUGCAAUAUAUUAAUGAUCCAAAUCAUCGAGUGAUUCCAGCUAGGCUGCAAGAGCUUCUGUGAAGUAGGCAGCACUCCUCAUAAUGAUAGACUGCAGGAAUAAUGAAAUUACUGAAAACGAAGCAUCAGGAAACUGGCUUAGAAAUGUCAAAAGAGGAGGAGCUGAAGAUCACAAGCGAGGGCCUUAUUAGGAAAGAUAGAAACAAAUAUUCAAGAGGGCAGCAUUAUUUUUAAUUCACUUCUGCAAGGCUACCUGUGUGUUAGACAACGCUCAUCCCGGCAUCAAUUGGAUGAUGUUAAGACAGUGAUUUCUCCAUGAUGACCUGGAAAUGACCAACCCCACGUCUUUCUCUGUAGCACUGAGGCCGUAAUGAAGCAAGUACUUUCAGCUGGAAGGUGCUGACCUCAAGCUCAUAGCAACUGGGGAAGGGCUGGAGAAGCCCUACCAUUGUCACCAUUGCACAGAUGGAAGUACUCAGGUGGUACUUUUAUAUGGUGGAUUUUCCCAGAAGAUGCCACUGCUAUUCCACAGUUCCAAACAGUGAAGCUGCUAUAGUGGUGGGCUGUGGUGUCUUGGAGCCAAACACAUGACUGGAGCUGGCAAACACAGACCUCGUGCUCCUGACUCACAUACUGCAUACGCAUCACUGAAAGAAGGCAAGAAACUGCAAAAAACACUUGUGUGUGGUAUUGCCUAACUCUGUUCCUACCCAAACACUUGUGUAAGCUAAUAGAGGUGGAUGUUCAUAUAUGUGAGUUCCACAGGUUCAGAAGGGUCAGUCACCCUCCUAGGUUUGGCACAUUGAGGCGAGUCUGAAACUCACAGAGUUAAAUAUAAAUAGCUUAAUGCACAGGCCAAUUAAAGCAAACAUUGCUUUUGUCCCUUCCUCUCCCAUUCUCCUUCCAUUUUAUCUCUUUGGACUGACUGCAGAACUGACUGAAUCUUAUCCCUUCCAACUGCCCUGCGAAACCCUCUAAUUAGCUUUCUGCUCCUCUGAUUAGUAAAUGCAAUACAGUGGCUAUGAUUAUAUUUCCAGGUGCUCUACAAAUUUUCUGACGAUAAACUAGACAGACAAAAUCCAUGAAUACACAGACAACCUGUAAAGUCUAAUGCUUCCAUGAAUUAGUCUAUCUGAAUAAGAAAAAUGCCAUUAAUGCGGAUAAGCCCCUUCAACUCUCCCCAUUAAUGGCUGGUCUUAAUUCACAGGUGCCUUUUUAAUCUCUGCUGAAUUCCUCCAGAAUCUAAUGAACGCGUGUAAUAAUAAUAGCAACUAAGAAUUUAAUCCUGAUUCUCAACUUUCUUAAAUUAGACCUUUGUCAUUAAGAG
ensembl:lncRNA